UUGAGGGGCCCCACGGAAAUUAUUUUAUUCUUCUACACAAUUUACUCUCACAGGGAUAGAUAACAAUAUUCCCUUUCACAGGAGAGGGAUGCAUAGAAAAUCCUUACCAUUUGAAAAAAAAAAUCUCUAUUCACCACCAUUGAUAAUACACACACAGCACAUACAAUAAACCCCCACACACCCCUCACCAGAAAAAUGCAUCUCUCCGAAAAAUACACACCCACACACACUAAGUGAGAAAUCUUAUAUGAGAGAGAGAUUGAAAGAAGAGAGAAAACGACGGGUUGACGGUUUCGGUGAGCCUUCGUUGGGAAAACGCCACCAUCGCACCAGCCGCAUCAUCUUUCUACUAUUCACGUCAUCAUCAAGCUUGUGGGACCCCGGUGAAGUGAAUACCGUGAAUCCCAACUCCGAUCCGAUCGAGUUUGACAACUUUCAGUCCGAUUUUGGUGAAUCCGGUACAGAUUUGGCCUUUACAGUUUUUAAUUUGCAAUUUCCAGUUCAGGCAGACGAAAAACCAAGAAGGGUCAUAGAAAUUUGAUGUGGGAAGUUUGUGGUUGAGGGUCGAUGUUGAUGUUCCAUUCGGAUCGAGGUUCCGUGGCUUUGUGAGUUCCGAUCCAUCAUGGUUGUUCAAAAUAAAAUCAUCAAAUUGAGGUGUAAAGAGGCCAAUUUCGAGAAUUGCUCCUAUUGAUUUGAGGCUGACAAAUCCUCAAUUGUUGAUGAAUCGAUGAGAUAUAUAAAAAUACUGCAGAACACUGUUGACAAUCUUAAAGAACAAAAACUUUCAAGGAUUCAACGUGGGAUAGCAAGGCUGUCCACGAUGAAUAGUCCCAUAAUGACUCCACAGAAGUUAAGUGUUGGCACUAGCUAACUGGGAACAAUUUUUGGCUGACAAAGGAUCUGCUAGUAACUCAGCUGCUAUAACACCAACCAACAACAACAAUGUGAAUGUCAUUCCCCUUUUGAACAUUAAUGUUCCAACUGAUUUUGUGACAUGGAGUUCAGAUAAUGUUGUGCUAAAUGUUUGUGGAAAAGAGGCACAUAUUAGUGUGUGUUGUCCUAAGAAGCCUGGACUUUUUACCUUCAUUUGUCAUGUUCCGGAGAAAAAUAAGAUUAACAAUGUGUCUGCUCACGUUUCAUCUGAUCAAUUCAGAAGUCUGUUCAUGAUUCAAGAAAUUAUCUCUUUAUGCACUGGGCUGUCUUUUUAUUGGUAUUUAGAAAUUGAUUUAAUUCUUAUGUAUUAAUAUGUGCUCAAUUUACAAAUCUAUGUUGGUCA